rnacentral:lncRNA from 1 species
AGCGGAAACGGCGGCCGCAACAGGCACGUGCGCGGGUGGAACAGAGCGCCGGCGGCUCCAGGCGGCACGCGUGAGUGGGCAAGCGCAGGUGCUGGAGCGGCAGGAAUGUGAGCGGCACCGAGCGAGUGGCGCGAGUGUGCGCGCGAUGGCGUGCGGGAGUUGGCGGUGUGGGCAGCUGUUGAGCGGCCGGAGCGAAGCGCGGGCCCAGCAACAGAGGAAGGAGGUGGAGCUAUGCAAAGCAUUGACGAGCAGAGCAACGACAUGCAGAGCGGCAACGUGCAACGCAUGGCAGUGUUCCCGCUGGGCGAGCUCAGGCCACGACCAAGUUGAGUGCAGGAGGGUCGCGCGUGAUGGAUAUUAGGGGCCGUCGAGGAAAAGGCAGCGGAAGACACGGCCCUAAUAUAGACAGACCACGGUCCUCGCGAAGGCGGAGGUGUGAGUAUGGCAUGGCGAAUCGGAAAGAAAAGCUACGGAGCGAAGGCGAUGACUGGGCGUAACAAGCUCGGAGGAGCCACGGAGUAGCCAGACACGACGAGCUCCCUCCACCCAUGCAGAGGUCGAAACGGAAGCAGCACAUAGAAGAUGCGGCCAAGCACGGUGAUCCUACCGGAGGCUACGCGAGUGUGCGGACCAUGUUUCUGCAGCACACGUGCGUGAACAGUGGAGGCUUGGCCGUGAGCAAGGAAACCCUGAGGCUUGUGGAAGAGUCAACCUAGCGAACCAAUCCGGCUCCAUUGUCUUGUCCCAUGAUCCACGACACUCAGCAACUUCUACUCUUCGUCACCGUCGAGCUCUUCUCCUCGCUAAUCUUGUUCGCCACGGGAAUUCACUUUCCGUCUGUUCUUCUCCACAACCAAGACUACCCCAAGGUUUGCCCUGUUUUAUUAAAUUCUUUUAAUGCCGGCAAUCCCUUUGCCGGAAUAUCGUCGUUAACUUCCUGUUAUCUAUUCUCCCGGACUAGGGACUUGAUUGCUAUAUUUUGGAAAGUUCUAGGGUGUUCUUUGUAAAAUUUCAAAAGCUUUCUGUAUUUCAAAUCGAUGACCUCUACAUUUCAUAGAUUUUCAUAGGAAGUUCAUAAAAAUGUAAAAUCAGUUUCGUUUGAAACCCUAAGUCAAACUCUACAAGUUUUAUGUUAUGAUCUUGAGUUGAGAUCUUUGAUGUGUGGUCUAGGUCAAAUGUUAGGGAAUGAAUGUUUUAUUGUGCUUUAUAUUGUAUGCUUGUAUUACAGCUAAAGCGUAAGCUAUAGAAGUUAUGGCAUAAGUAGAGAUAUGCGAUAUCUAGUUAAUCCUUUCCCACGAAGUGCUCAUAUCCUUACCGUUAAGAUGUUAUCCUUGUUUUGAUUGCCGUUUUCUUAAGAUCCUUUUCGUAAAAGGAUCCCUGUUAGUUUAUGUACUUUUGUUGCUUAGCUUAUACACCUCUACGGCUAUGCUUCAACGUCGACUAUCAGUUCAACCGCUAAACAUUCAUUUCCUUUGAGUUUAGAAUAUUUUUGCGUAACAGCUGUCAGCCGAUAUAUUUCUUGUGAUAUGCUUCUACUAUCGGCUGGUUAGCUGAUACGAUUGUUACCUUUCUAGUAUCGACUGCUGCCGAUACAAGUCUGUUGUUCUGUCCUACAUCGACUACACAGAGUCGAUGUAUCGAAGAGACACACACGAUCUUAGGGUUCUUGCUAUCGGCCGACCCAAGCCGAUUUUGGUUGCCUUGCCAUAUCGGUCAAACACGGCCGAUCAAUCUUAGUUUUCCUAUCUCCAUUCCACACACCUCUAUCAGCCGAUUUAUCGACUGAGAGAUCGGCUAUCUAUAUCUAUCAGUCAUAUAUCCUCAAUCACACUCCAAUCGACUGUACGUCACUCAAUAGUUGUGCUGACGUAAUCGAGUCGAUACAACCACACUUAGUUACCUAGAAUAACACUUAAGCACAUCUCAGUUAAGACAACUGUUUUAGGAAUCAUCCCUCUGCUAAAGUGAUCGAUGUUUUCAUCGAUCAAUCAGGAAACUGGUGUACCUAUCAAUCUUCUACACAAACCAAAGUACACAACCCUAGAUCAAUAAGAUCGCACAUUAGACACGCCUCUGUUAGGCACGACCUAAGCACAUCAAUCAGCUAAACCCCCGUUGUUUCCAAUCGGCUCUGUUGUAACUCUCAACAAGUAGCUAAUUCUAGUUAGUUGUCCCCCUAAAGCUCUAUCUAGGUUUAGUUCAGAUCUUUUGGUUGUUAUAUGAAUAGUGUGUUAUAUAAGUGCUGGAUUGCAAUUUUGCUGUGAAAUAAAAUAGUUUUGUGUGCACGCUUGAAUGUAAUGUUGCAUUACAUGUAGAUACGACUACUUCAGCAACGGUACCUACGAGAUCUCCCCAGAGUCUACGGGGGAUAUUCCUGAAGAUCAAGUAAAUGUCACCAGGGGAAUAUCGGAAGCCCCGAACCAAAGUUCGGAAGAUAUUAACAUUUCUGACUUCAGACCCACCAGUAAAGGCAAGCCCCGGACAUAACCUACUAUUUUAUUACACUGCAAUCUAUAUCUAUUUAUGUAUUCUAUGCAUUAAGUUCUUAGGAAUUGCUUGAAACCCUAGAUGCAUGAAUCCUAGGAACCAAUGUGAUGAAUACUAGUACUUGAGUCCGACUAGCUGCUAUGCUAAUAGGGCUGGUAGAAGUCGGGUGAUUUCCUGUCACUCGCGCGAUAUAGGAGUUGUAAUGAUUACAUUCCUGUUAUCACUAUAAGGAUGCCGGACGGGAGUUUUGUGCGGUAUCAUGGUUGAGAUGAUACCCCGUCUGUGUUGAUGAAUCUGAUAAGGUCGCAGUGUGUGGAAGUGCGGGUUAGGUGUUUGAAAGUACUAGCCACAUGCCGUGAGUUAUGGGUAAGCGGUAAGCCUAGUAGCCAAUCGGCCCGAGGAGUGGACAUACCUCCCACCACAUGUAUUUGGUUCUUUUGGUUACUUGGUUCGACUGGGGAAAUACGUGUUGCAAGGGCAACCAGGAAUACGGGUUUUGUAGUCGCGCUACAGACGUAUGUCCUGCACACAUUGGGUGUGCGUAUGUUCCUGCAGUCGCUUGUGGUGGCUCUGAUCCACGAGUCGGAAUGAAAGGCAAACGGUUGCUUCGGAAUGACCCUGUGGUGUUCCAAGCGUGUGUGUUAGGUUUACCUUGCAAGGUUAAAUUCGAUUCGAAUCGUCCGCUUCUCACGAAGAUUGAGACUGCUUGAUCCCUUUUCCACAUAGAGUAACAAGAGCAAUAUUAUGGUUAUCAAAGAUGAUGUUUGACCAAAGAUUAUACCAUGCUUGCUUAGUCAUAGGUGCUUACCUAGAAUGGAUAAUUAACUAGAAUCUGAAAGCUAAAACUUGAAGUUAAGGAUCUACUCUUUGUUGCUUUUCAGCUGAAACUAAACCCAGAACCAUUAUAAGCUUUCAUAAGUCUAGUUAUGGGCUAAGUAUACCCAAUCCCGGGUAAGCCUUGCUGAGUAUUAGUAUACUCAGCCUUGCUAGCUUUAUGUUUUUCAGGUAAAGCCUUUGAAGACCCUAUUCUUCCCUUGUCAUGGCCCUGUGCUUUUCCAGAAGAUUGGUCCGAGGAAUGGGAUCCGUCCCCGACCAACACUGAUGAUCUCGAGUGAUGUCGUGUCUGGGCUUAGCAUGACAUCCACCUUGACGACGUGUUGUUAUUCUUCGCGUAUGUUUUCCGCUGCUUUUAACCCUAGUUUUACAGUUUGUAAUCUUUUCUCUAAAUGUGAAACUUCAUACUUCUUUUUGGAAACUCUUGUAAUGUAAUUCUCUAUGAUGUAAAAUGUGAUGGUGAUUGUAUCUCUGGACUCACCUUCGUGUGAGGUAACCUUAUUUGAUCCUGUGUAUCGGUG